rnacentral:rRNA from 1 species
AUUGAACGCUGGCGGCAUGCUUUACACAUGCAAGUCGAACGGCAGCGCGGGGCAACCUGGCGGCGAGUGGCGAACGGGUGAGUAAUAUAUCGGAACGUACCCAGAAGUGGGGGAUAACGUAGCGAAAGUUACGCUAAUACCGCAUACGAUCUACGGAUGAAAGUGGGGGACCUUCGGGCCUCAUGCUUGUGGAGCGGCCGAUAUCUGAUUAGCUAGUUGGUGAGGUAAAGGCUCACCAAGGCUACGAUCAGUAGCUGGUCUGAGAGGACGACCAGCCACACUGGAACUGAGACACGGUCCAGACUCCUACGGGAGGCAGCAGUGGGGAAUUUUGGACAAUGGGGGAAACCCUGAUCCAGCAAUGCCGCGUGAGUGAAGAAGGCCUUCGGGUUGUAAAGCUCUUUUGUCAGGGAAGAAACGGUAGAGGCUAAUAUCCUUUGCUAAUGACGGUACCUGAAGAAUAAGCACCGGCUAACUACGUGCCAGCCGCCGCCGUAACAC